GGACGAACGCUGGCGGCGUGCUUAACACAUGCAAGUCGAACGGAAAGGCCCUGCUUUUGUGGGGUGCUCGAGUGGCGAACGGGUGAGUAACACGUGAGUAACCUGCCCUUGACUUUGGGAUAACUUCAGGAAACUGGGGCUAAUCCCGGAUAGGAGCUCCUGCUGCAUGGUGGGGGUUGGAAAGUUUCGGCGGUUGGGGAUGGACUCGCGGCUUAUCAGCUUGUUGGUGGGGUAGUGGCUUACCAAGGCUUUGACGGGUAGCCGGCCUGAGAGGGUGACCGGCCACAUUGGGACUGAGAUACGGCCCAGACUCCUACGGGAGGCAGCAGUGGGGAAUAUUGCACAAUGGGCGGAAGCCUGAUGCAGCAACGCCGCGUGCGGGAUGACGGCCUUCGGGUUGUAAACCGCUUUCGCCUGUGACGAAGCGUGAGUGACGGUAAUGGGUAAAGAAGCACCGGCUAACUACGUG
rnacentral:rRNA from 1 species